UACAGAGGGGGCAAGCGUUAAUCGGAAUUACUGGGCGUAAAGCGUGCGUAGGUGGUUUGUUAAGUCAGGCGUGAAAUCCUGGGGCUCAACCUCAGAGUUGCGCUUGAUACUGACAGACUCGAGUGUGGUAGAGGAUAGUGGAAUUCCCGGUGUAGCGGUGAAAUGCGUAGAUAUCGGGAGGAACAUCAGUGGCGAAGGCGGCUAUCUGGACCAACACUGACACUGAGGUACCAAAGCGUGGGUAGCAAACAGG
rnacentral:rRNA from 1 species